GACGAACGCUGGCGGCGCGCUUAACACAUGCAAGUCGAGCGAGAACCAUGGCUUCGGCCAUGGGGACAGCGGCGAACGGGUGAGUAACACGUGGGCAAUCUGCCCUCGGCACUGGGAUAGCCCGGGGAAACCCGGAUUAAUACCGGAUAGCCUCUCGAGCUCACGGGCUCGUGAGAAAAGAUGGCUUCGGCUUUCGGCUGAGGAGGAGCCUGCGGCGGAUUAGCUGUUGGCGGGGUAACGGGCCCACCAAGGCGACGAUCUGUAGCUGGUCUGAGAGGACGAUCAGCCACACUGGGACUGAGACACGGCCCAGACUCCUACGGGAGGCAGCAGUGGGGAAUCUUGCGCAAUGGGCGAAAGCCUGACGCAGCGACGCCGC
rnacentral:rRNA from 1 species